AGUGAACGCUGGCGGUAGGCCUAACACAUGCAAGUCGAACGGCAGCACAGUAAGAUCUUGCUCUUAUGGGUGGCGAGUGGCGUACGGGUGAGGUAUACAUCGGAAUCUACUUUUUCGUGGGGGAUAACGUAGGGAAACUUACGCUCAUACCGCAUACGACCUACGGGUGAAAGCAGGGGAUCUUCGGACCUUGCGCGAUUGAAUGAGCCGAUGUCGGAUUAGCUAGUUGGCGGGGUAAAGGCCCACCAAGGCGACGAUCCGUAGCUGGUCUGAGAGGAUGAUCAGCCACACUGGAACUGAGACACGGUCCAGACUCCUAAGGGAGGCAGCAGUGGGGAAUAUUGGACAAUGGGCGCAAGCAUGAUCCAGCCAGACCGCGUGGGUGAAGAAGGCCUUCGGGUUGUAAAGCCCUUUUGUUGGGAAAGAAAAGCAGCAGGUUAAUACCACGCUGUUCUGACGGUACCCAAAGAAUAAGCACCGGCUAACUUCGUG
rnacentral:rRNA from 1 species